rnacentral:rRNA from 1 species
ACGAAGGGGGCUAGCGUUGCUCGGAAUCACUGGGCGUAAAGGGUGCGUAGGCGGGUUUUUAAGUCAGGGGUGAAAUCCUGGAGCUCAACUCCAGAACUGCCUUUGAUACUGAAGAUCUUGAGUUCGGGAGAGGUGAGUGGAAUUCCCAGUGUAGCGGUGAAAUGCGUAGAUAUUGGGAGGAACACCAGUGGCGAAGGCGGCUCACUGGACCGGAACUGACGCUGAGGCGCGAAAGCGUGGGGAGCAAACAGGA